rnacentral:rRNA from 1 species
GAUGAACGCUGGCGGCGUGCCUAAUACAUGCAAGUCGAGCGAACGGACGAGAAUCUUGCUUCUCUGAUGUUAGCGGCGGACGUGUGAGUAACACGUGGAUAACCUACCUAUAAGACUGGGAUAACUUCGGGAAACCGGAGCUAAUACCGGAUAAUAUUUUGAACCGCAUGGUUCAAAAGUGAAAGACGGUCUUGCUGUCACUUAUAGAUGGAUCCGCGCUGCAUUAGCUAGUUGUUAAGGUAACGGCUUACCAAGGCAACGAUGCAUAGCCGACCUGAGAGGGUGAUAGGCCACACUGGAACUGAGACACGGUCCAGACUCCUAAGGGAGGCAGCAGUAGGGAAUCUUACGCAAUGGGCGAAAGCCUGACGGAGCAACGCCGCGUGAGUGAUGAAGGUCUUCGGAUCGUAAAACUCUGUUAUUAGGGAAGAACAUAUGUGUAAGUAACUGUGCACAUCGUGACGGUACCUAAUCAGAAAGCAACGGCUAACUACGUG